rnacentral:lncRNA from 1 species
GGCGUGGCGCGAUGGUUGUCGGAUUUGGUGGGUUAGCCGGAUUUGGGGGUGUACGGUUGUCGGAUUUGGUGGGUCAUGUGUCUAAUAAUUAACCAGAGUAGAGUCGGUUAAACAACAACAGCAACAUGAAGGAGCUGUGAUUCAGUGGGAUAGGUUUUUGCCUCUUAGGUCUCUCAAAGUUCUGCUUGUAGAAGAUGAUGACUCGACUCGUCGUGUUGUCAGCGUGCUGCUGCAUAAUUGCAGCUAUGAAGUGGUCAAUGAACUGAGAAAAAUCGAGAUAGUCUUAUUGUUGAAUGCUUUGUAUGUGAUACUGUCAAUUCCCACAUGCUUUAUAUGUGAUACUGUUGAUUCCCACUU